rnacentral:rRNA from 1 species
CCUACGGGAGGCAGCAGUAAGGGAUAUUGCGACAAUGGGCGCAAGCCUGACGCAGCAACGCCGCGUGCGGGAUGGCGGCCUUCGGGUUGUAAACCGCUUUUCUGGGGGAAGAGGCAGGACGGUACCUCAGGAAGAAGUCUCGGCUAACUACGUGCCAGCAGCCGCGGU